rnacentral:snRNA from 1 species
AUAUAUAUCCAUACAUGAGACCGU